rnacentral:sRNA from 1 species
CUAUAGUUGGCGUACCCAGAGGCCUGCCAGUUCCUGCCUUAAUGCAUAUGUAGUCGUAAUUGAGUUCUGACACGGCCUUGGAUGUUUCUGUCCUAAAUAGCUGACAUUGCAUCUUCAAGACUGUUGUGAAGAAUUUGGAAAUUGCAAGGAACAUGGGAAGGAGAUGAUUUGGGUAUUCCAGUUGGCUUUUGAGUGGAUACUUGCAGUGAGAGCAUUGACACUGGAAACACUAGUUCCCAUUUUAAUUACUUAAAACACUAUGAUGAAAAGAAAUACCUGUGAUUUGCUUUCUCGGAGCAAAAGUGCCUCUGAGGAAACACUACAUUCCAGUAAUGAAGAGGAAGACCCUUUCCGCGGAAUGGAACCCUAUCUUGUCCGGAGACUUUCAUGUCGCAAUAUUCAGCUUCCCCCUCUCGCCUUCAGACAGUUGGAACAAGCUGACUUGAAAAGUGAAUCAGAGAACAUUCAACGACCAACCAGCCUCCCCCUGAAGAUUCUGCCGCUGAUUGCUAUCACUUCUGCAGAAUCCAGCGGGUGAGUGCCCUCAGAUGUCAUUUCCCCAUUUUAUAUUUUAGAUGGUG